GCUCCAGGAGCUCCAUGUCCCUCCCGUCCUGAGGAGCCACCCACAGCUGGACACAGCACUGGACACAUCCCUGUGGCUGCUCUUCUGGCUGAUGACUAAAAGAGGAGAAGAUCUGGAAACGCUACAAAGUUGAGGGAACAACCACCUGCCCCUGCAGAUCAGCAGCCCCGGGGGGAUGCGGCUUCCAGCAGCUCCCAGGUGAUGGAGACUCUCCCUCUGGAUUUUAUUUCUCUCCAUUUCAGAUUCUGCCCCGCGCUGUGACCUCAGGAAUGACGUUAAGCCUGGUGUAACCUCAGCUUUAUUGUCUCGUCGUGCUGCUGCCAUUAAAGGAGGUUUUGUGUGAGAAUAAAAAGCACAGCUCUUCUACUGGAACGUGGACAACUCUAAAAUCAGGAGGAACAGAAGCCUUUGGAAUCUCAGCCCAAGGUGCCUGUGCCUUCCUGCUCAGGUUCAUUAACUUUGAAGAGCAAUAACUUUGGUAAAAUCUGGGGGGAAAGAAUCAAAUUAACUUAUUUUAGGCCUGAACUGAGAUUUUUUCUUUCUUCGGGACUGACAAUAAAACAGCUUUAAAUGUGAAAGGGGGAGAUGUGGUGGGAUGAAUCCGUGGAGGGAUGCUCGGAUCAGAGGGAACCACUGGAGAGUGGAAACUGUAAGACAAGGGCUGAAUAAUUAUAACCAUCAUUA